AAACGUACGCUGGCGGCACGCCUAACACAUGCAAGUCGAACGAAGUAGCAAUACUUAGUGGCAGACGGGUGAGUAACAUGUGGGUAUCUGCCCCUUUGGCCUGGAAUAACACGAGGAAACUUGUGCUAAUACCGGAUAAGUCUUUACGGAGAAAGCUUUAUGCACCAUUGGAUGAGCCCGCACUUGAUUAGUUUGUUGGUAGGGUAAUGGCCUACCAAGACUGUGAUCAAUAGCUGAUUUGAGAGGAUGAUCAGCCACAUUGGGACUGAGACACGGCCCAAACUCCUACGGGAGGCAGCAGUGGGGAAUCUUGCACAAUGGAGGAAACUCUGAUGCAGCGAUGCCGCGUGAGUGAAGAAGGCCCUUGGGUUGUAAAGCUCUUUCGUCGGGGAAGAAAAUGACUGUACCCGAAUAAGAAGGUCCGGCUAACUUCGUGCCAGCAGCCGCGGUAAUACGAAGGGACCUAGCGUAGUUCGGAAUUACUGGGCUUAAAGAGUUCGUAGGUGGUUGAAAAAGUUGGUGGUGAAAUCCCAGAGCUUAACUCUGGAACUGCCAUCAAAACUUUUCAGCUAGAGUAUGAUAGAGGAAAGCAGAAUUUCUAGUGUAGAGGUGAAAUUCGUAGAUAUUAGAAAGAAUACCAAUUGCGAAGGCAGCUUUCUGGAUCAUUACUGACACUGAGGAACGAAAGCAUGGGUAGCGAAGAGGAUUAGAUACCCUCGUAGUCCAUGCCGUAAACGAUGUGUGUUAGACGUUGGAAAUUUAUUUUCAGUGUCGCAGCGAAAGCGAUAAACACACCGCCUGGGGAGUACGACCGCAAGGUUAAAACUCAAAUGAAUUGACGGGGACCCGCACAAGUAGUGGAGCAUGUGGUUUAAUUCGAAGAUACGCGCAGAACCUUACCAACACUUGACAUGUUCGUCGCGACUCUAAGAGAUUAGAGUUUUCGGUUCGGCCGGACGAAACACAGGUGCUGCAUGGCUGUCGUCAGCUCGUGUCGUGAGAUGUUGGGUUAAGUCCCGCAACGAGCGCAACCCUCACUUUUAGUUGCCAUCAUUAAGUUGGGCACUCUGAAAGAACUGCCAGUGAUAAGCUGGAGGAAGGUGGGGAUGACGUCAAGUCCUCAUGGCCCUUACGUGUUGGGCUACACACGUGCUACAAUGGUAUCUACAACAGGAAGCAAGACUGCGAAGUUUAGCAAAAUCCCUAAAAGAUACCUCAGUUCGGAUUGCACUCUGCAACUCGAGUGCAUGAAGCUGGAAUUACUAGUAAUCGUGGAUCAGCGUGCCACGGUGAAUGCGUUCCCGGGUCU
rnacentral:rRNA from 1 species